GCGUGGGCAGGUUAAUGGACGGAGUGUUGCUGGAAGCUGUUUCUGGCCGAUUAACAUCACCAUAAGUGUCACGAAUUCGCUAUUUGUGCACCGAAGCUGCGGAACAACAAUCACUAAUACGCCUGGAGUGCCUUUAAAAUGGUAAAACUUCCCACCUGGCGCUGUACAAGCACAUCCUCAAACAAAAUUGGACAUUGCUAUAUAAGAAGACGUGAGCGCAGAUGAUCUGAAGUUUAAUUAAACAGAGCAUUCAACUCCAUUGUCCCUGAAACCUGUAUUACCUGGUUAUCAACUUUGAACUAAAUCUCCCCAAUAGCAAGCCCAGCACAGAAGAGAAUGAGGCCAGUAUGGAGGGCAGAACAAGCCCAACACGGGGGAAAGCAAGCUCCGUGCAAGGAAGAGCAAGCCCAGCGUAGCGGAUACUGAGCCCAGUGCAGAGGCGAAUGAUCCCUGAGGCAACAUCAGAGACAUAGGCUCAGUGGCUAAAGAUGGCAUCUGAGGAUCAGAGACUUCGUCGUUGGUUGGGUCUGGUGCUGGUAGCUGCAAAGUGGUGGCAGAACAGCACAACAGUAACAUCCACCAUGGUGAUAGACUCCAACAUUAGUAUACACAGUGCAUGUGAUGGCAAAAGUGAAUUGGCCCAGAGCAAAUGAUGGUGCAAUAGGAUGGGUGACUUCAAUGUUAGUUGGGUCUGUUGAGGCAGUGGUAGUUCUGUGCUGGCUCAGAACUCAAAUGUAGAUGAAAUUCUCUUUAAGCUAUAUCUUUCUAUUUCUCCUGUUAUCAAAAUAGUGCGGGAUUGU